UGAGUGGCGGACGGGUGAGUAACGCGUGGGCAACCUGGCCUGUACAGGGGGAUAACACUUAGAAAUAGGUGCAAUACCGCAUAACGGGGGAAGCCGCAUGGCUUUUCCCUGAAAACUCCGGUGGUACAGGAUGGGCCCGCGUCUGAUUAGCCAGUUGGCAGGGUAACGGCCUACCAAAGCGACGAUCAGUAGCCGGCCUGAGAGGGCGGACGGCCACACUGGGACUGAGACACGGCCCAGACUCCUACGGGAGGCAGCAG
rnacentral:rRNA from 1 species